rnacentral:rRNA from 1 species
GUGCCAGCCGCCGCGGUAAUACAGAGGGUGCUAGCGUUGUUCGGAAUUAUUGGGCGUAAAGCGCGUGUAGGCGGCCUUGCAAGUUGGGUGUGAAAGCCCUCGGCUUAACCGAGGAAGUGCGCCCAAAACUACAGGGCUUGAGUACCGGAGAGGGUGGCGGAAUUCCCGGUGUAGAGGUGAAAUUCGUAGAUAUCGGGAGGAACACCAGUGGCGAAGGCGGCCACCUGGACGGAUACUGACGCUGAGACGCGAAAGCGUGGGUAGCAAACAGGAUUAGAAACCCCCGUAGUCC